UGGUGGAGUGAUUUGUCUGGUUAAUUCCGAUAACGAACGAGACCUUAACCUACUAAAUAGUCACACAAACCCUUCUGCUAUGUGGUGAUCUUGGGGUUGUGAGUCUGUGUUGUGGUCGCCCCCUACGGGGGGUCGUGGGGCUUCGGUCUCCGAUCACGGCCAGGCCGAUCCCUUGGAAUCCAUUGAUGAGUUUGUGGAUGUACUUCUUAGAGGGACUAUUCAUGUUUAGUGAAUGGAAGUUUGAGG
rnacentral:rRNA from 1 species